rnacentral:lncRNA from 1 species
AUGGAGCUAGACCUGAAGCUGCUGCAGCUCCAAAUGCAUCUCAACAGGCUGUGUCCCUGGUUGGCAACUUCUGUCCCCUUCCUUCAGAGACACAAUAGGUUCAGGGAAGUGGGAGCUCAAUGCUGCCAAGAAGCAGCACCCAAGGAGCAGCACCUUGCCCAUGAAAUCCGGGAACCAUGUUUCUCGGUGGAUGGCACACACUGUCACAAACCAGUAAGAAGCAGCAAACUUAAUAUAUGGUGCCUAAAGGUUCGUAUUCAAAUGUGUCUUAUCUAGCCAAAGCACAUGAUCUGAAAAGGCUAUUUCUGGACAAAGGUUUCUGCAGACUACUGCUCUGUGUUUUACUCAACAGUUUACAACCUUUCCUUCUGAAGUCAAAAUCUCAGACUUGAGGCUUACGGGCCCUCUGAAAAAUGCCUGUUAUGCUAUAUAUAUCUACUAAUAAAGUAAUAACCAG